CCAGAAUAUAUCAGUUAAGAAGCUUUUGGCAAUAUUACCUAGGAUGAAGAGGUCUGCCUGUGGACAAGUCUAUUUACUUGCAAGGAUAGAUAUUCACAUUUUAAAAGUCUGCAACAAGUAGCUUUUACAGAUGUGGCCUGAAGGAAACAGAAGGCCCUAGUAGAAAUGCUGUGAGGAAGCUGAUUUUCAAGAGAGAUGUGACCAGUUUUAGGCUCAAGUGCAAGAUUUUAAAAACAAACAGUGCUUUCCCCAGAGACAGCCUGGCUUUUACAACAUCCUAUGGGAUUCCAAGCCUCACAAGCUGAAAAGGACUAGGAAGCUUCUCAGAGAUUGCUGUCUUUUCUAUUUUCUUUGGCUUUCUUGAGCUGAGGGUAUUUGGCAGUUGAAAUGAAGAUUCCAACGACUGACAAGAUUUUUUCUGCUUGUACGUUGGUUAUGUGAAUGGAACUCCGAAAUGUUUAUAGUGACACUGUUAUAGAGAAUGGAAGCUGGACUUACACUGGAAGACUGGAAUGGCAUACCCUAAAAGCCUAUAAAAGUAGUCGUCUUCAAGUUGGAACAACCUUUCUCUGCUACCCAAGUCCAGAAAGUAAUAAACCAAGACCACCAGCUAAGAUAUUAUGUAAUUGCCAUGGAGAGAAGCAUUGAAUGCCUUCAGAUGGUCCUUCCAAACCUCUUCUGAAGGCGCUUGUGCAAAACAGAGCACAUAAG
rnacentral:lncRNA from 14 species